rnacentral:rRNA from 1 species
GUUCUGGUCACCAGAGCAAGAUGGAACCACCUCUUCCCAUUCCGAACAGAGUCGUGAAACGUUUUAGCGCCGACAAUAGCUUUCCUGCAAGGGAUCUUGAAGAUAGGUCGUGGCCAGAAC